rnacentral:tRNA from 1 species
CGCUGAGAAGCUAAUAGCCAAGCGUCAGCCUUUUAAGCUGGAGACUGGUGAUUCGACCCACCCUCAGUGA